UACGUAGGGUGCGAGCGUUGUCCGGAAUUACUGGGCGUAAAGAGUUCGUAGGCGGUUUGUCGCGUCGUUCGUGAAAACUCGGGGCUCAACUCCGAGCUUGCAUUCGAUACGGGCAGGCUAGAGUUCGGUAGGGGAGACUGGAAUUCCUGGUGUAGCGGUGAAAUGCGCAGAUAUCAGGAGGAACACCGGUGGCGAAGGCGGGUCUCUGGGCCGAUACUGACGCUGAGGAGCGAAAGCGUGGGGAGCGAACAGG
rnacentral:rRNA from 1 species